CCUCCUUUUCACGCACACACAAACACCAGCCCCAUUCAGCUCUUUCUAUUCGUCAAGCCACAAACUGCCCCAUGUUUGUGGCUCGAUGAAUUUUUGUAGCUGAAUAAAGAAGAGGAGCUUGGUGUUAAUGCCUUGGUGAAGAGGAGGAGCUUGGUGUUAGGUUGCUCGAUGAAGAGGAGGAGUUUGGUGUUAGGUUGCUCGAUGAAGAGGAGGAGUUUGGUGUUAGUAGCUGGAUGAAGAGAAGGAGCUUGGUGUAAUCUUCUUCAUGUCCCAGGAUCUUCUUCAGCUGUGCUGUUAUCUGGAUGGAAAGAGAAAAUGUGCAAUAUUAGUUUCAUGUAAGAUCAACAUUUCAACACAAAAACUGAAACAAGACUUCCGUAAGAAGACCAGUUUCAAUUUGGCCACUUCACAGAUUAACAGUUCAGCAAGUGACGAUUUGUGACAAACAUUUAAGUAGAAUAUUUUGUACAUUUCAGGAGUCAUGUCGGGGGUUUUGUUGUUAUUAAACUGACCUGAAUUUCAAUAUAGACUGUAUUUUUUCUUUUAAGGUUUUCUUCUCUUUGCUUGGCUUCAGGAUCAAGACCUGGAACCAGUUAUGGUGGAGGAUCUCUUCAAGAGGAAUCCGCUGUUGUGGAUCUCUUUGCAGACAGGAACAGAUCAUGUCGAUGCAUUCUGUGAAAUAAGCAAGAAUGUCUGCGCCAAGCUGGGGAUAAAAAGGAGCCGUUGUUCACCGGACCAUUCUCAAACAGGCUGGUAGAGAGGAUAAUUGGCACCAUGCAAUGGUAAUGUGUCUAUAGUUCACCUUGGCCUCAGCAGCGGGGGAGUUUGAGAUCGACCUGAGCUAAAUUUCCCCUCGCCCUGGGAAAGGGGGGAGCACUGGGCCCGAGGAUCUCUUGAGCUCCGGGCUCUCUCCCGGGACAGCAUGCUAAAC